rnacentral:rRNA from 1 species
AGGGAAUCUUCCACAAUGGACGCAAGUCUGAUGGAGCAACGCCGCGUGAGUGAAGAAGGUCUUCGGAUCGUAAAGCUCUGUUGUUGGUGAAGAAGGAUAGAGGCAGUAACUGGUCUUUAUUCGACGGUAAUCAACCAGAAAGUCACGGCUAACUACGUGCCAGCAGCCGCGGUAAUACGUAGGUGGCAAGCGUUGUCCGGAUUUAUUGGGCGUAAAGCGAGCGCAGGCGGAAUGAUAAGUCUGAUGUGAAAGCCCACGGCUCAACCGUGGAACUGCAUCGGAAACUGUCAUUCUUGAGUGCAGAAGAGGAGAGUGGAACUCCAUGUGUAGCGGUGGAAUGCGUAGAUAUAUGGAAGAACACCAGUGGCGAAGGCGGCUCUCUGGUCUGCAACUGACGCUGAGGCUCGAAAGCAUGGGUAGCGAACAGGAUUAGAUACCCUGGUAGUCCAUGCCGUAAACGAUGAGCGCUAGGUGUUGGGGACUUUCCGGUUCUCAGUGCCGCAGCAAACGCAUUAAGCGCUCCGCCUGGGGAGUACGACCGCAAGGUUGAAAC